GCUUUCGUGGUGUAGCGGUAACAUUGGGUCUUCCCAAGAAAGAAUGGCCUAGCUCCGGGUUCGACUCCCGGCGGACGUA